rnacentral:rRNA from 1 species
GGCCUGGCUGGACGGUCCGCCUUCUGGGUGAGUACUGUCUGUGGUCGGGUCCUACCUUCUGGCGAAGCGGCAUGGCCUUCACCGGCCGUGGCGGGGAACCAGGACUUUUACUGUGAAAAAAUUAGAGUGUUCAAAGCAGGCACGCGCUUGAAUACAUUAGCAUGGAAUAAUGGAAUAGGACAAUGGUUCUAUUUGUUGGUUUCUAGGACCGUUGUAAUGA